CCUACGGGCGGCAGCAGUGAGGAAUAUUGGUCAAUGGGCGCGAGCCUGAACCAGCCAAGUCGCGUGAGGGAAGACGGCCCUAUGGAUUGUAAACCUCUUUUGUCGGGGAGCAAAAGACGCCACGCGUGGCGUUCUGAGAGUACCCGAAGAAAAAGCAUCGGCUAACUCCGUGCCAGCAGCCGCGGUAAUACGGAGGAUGCGAGCGUUAUCCGGAUUUAUUGGGUUUAAAGGGUGCGUAGGCGGAAGAUCAAGUCAGAGGUAAAAUUGGGAGGCCCAACCUCUUCGAGCCGUUGAAACUGGUUUUCUUGAGUGAGUGAGAAGUAUGCGGAAUGCGUGGUGUAGCGGUGAAAUGCAUAGAUAUCACGCAGAACUCCGAUUGCGAAGGCAGCAUACCGGCGCUCAACUGACGCUCAUGCACGAAAGUGUGGGUAUCGAACAGGAUUAGAUACCCCUGUAGUC
rnacentral:rRNA from 1 species